rnacentral:rRNA from 1 species
UGCAAGUCGAACGAUGAAGCCCUUCGGGGUGGAUUAGUGGCGAACGGGUGAGUAACACGUGGGCAAUCUGCCCUGCACUCUGGGACAAGCCCUGGAAACGGGGUCUAAUACCGGAUACGACCUGCCGAGGCAUCUCGGCGGGUGGAAAGCUCCGGCGGUGCAGGAUGAGCCCGCGGCCUAUCAGCUUGUUGGUGAGGUAGUGGCUCACCAAGGCGACGACGGGUAGCCGGCCUGAGAGGGCGACCGGCCACACUGGGACUGAGACACGGCCCAGACUCCUACGGGAGGCAGCAGUGGGGAAUAUUGCACAAUGGGCGAAAGCCUGAUGCAGCGACGCCGCGUGAGGGAUGACGGCCUUCGGGUUGUAAACCUCUUUCAGCAGGGAAGAAGCGAGAGUGACGGUACCUGCAGAAGAAGCGCCGGCUAACUACGUGCCAGCAGCCGCGGUAAUACGUAGGGCGCAAGCGUUGUCCGGAAUUAUUGGGCGUAAAGAGCUCGUAGGCGGCUUGUCACGUCGGGUGUGAAAGCCCGGGGCUUAACCCCGGGUCUGCAUUCGAUACGGGCAGGCUAGAGUGUGGUAGGGGAGAUCGGAAUUCCUGGUGUAGCGGUGAAAUGCGCAGAUAUCACGAGGAACACCGGUG